rnacentral:rRNA from 1 species
AGAAUCAACGCUGGCGGCGUGCCUAACACAUGCAAGUCGAACGAGAAAGUGGAGCAAUCCAUGAGUAAAGUGGCGCACGGGUGAGUAACACGUGACUAACCUACCUUUUAGUGGGGGAUAACCUAGGGAAACCUGGGCUAAUACCGCAUAAUACCUACGGGUCAAAGCAGCAAUGCGCUGAAAGAGGGGGUCGCGGUCGAUUAGUUAGUUGGCAGGGUAAUGGCCUACCAAGACUGUGAUCGAUAUCCGGCCUGAGAGGGCGCGACGGAACGACGACUGGAACUGAAACACGGUCCAGACUCCUACGGGAGGCAGCAGUGGGGAAUUUUGCGCAAUGGGGGAAACCCUGACGCAGCAACGCCGCGUGGAGGAUGAAGUCCCUUGGGACGUAAACUCCUUUCGAUCGGGACGAUAAUGACGGUACCGAGAGAAGAAGCCCCGGCUAACUUCGUGCCAGCAGCCGC